UACGGAAGGGGGCUAGCGUUGCUCGGAAUCACUGGGCGUAAAGGGCGCGUAGGCGGCCGAUUAAGUCGGGGGUGAAAGCCUGUGGCUCAACCACAGAAUUGCCUCGAUACUGGUUGGCUUGAGACCGGAAGAGGACAGCGGAACUGCGAGUGUAGAGGUGAAAUUCGUAGAUAUUCGCAAGAACACCAGUGGCGAAGGCGGCUGUCUGGUCCGGUUCUGACGCUGAGGCGCGAAAGCGUGGGGAGCAAACAGG
rnacentral:rRNA from 1 species